GAUGAACGCUGGCGGCGUGCCUAAUACAUGCAAGUCGAGCGAACAGACGAGGAGCUUGCUCCUCUGACGUUAGCGGCGGACGGGUGAGUAACACGUGGAUAACCUACCUAUAAGACUGGGAUAACUUCGGGAAACCGGAGCUAAUACCGGAUAAUAUAUUGAACCGCAUGGUUCAAUAGUGAAAGACGGUUUUGCUGUCACUUAUAGAUGGAUCCGCGCCGGAUUAGCUAGUUGGUAAGGUAACGGCUUACCAAGGCAACGAUGCGUAGCCGACCUGAGAGGGUGAUCGGCCACACUGGAACUGAGACACGGUCCAGACUCCUACGGGAGGCAGCAGUAGGGAAUCUUCCGCAAUGGGCGAAAGCCUGACUGAGCAACGCCGCGUGAGUGAUGAAGGUCUUCGGAUCGUAAAACUUUGUUAUUAGGGAAGAACAAAUGUGUAAGUAACUAUGCACGUCUUGACGGUACCUAAACAGAAAGCAACGGCUAACUACGUG
rnacentral:rRNA from 1 species